GGCAUUGGAGUCUGGGGCUGUGCUGGGAGAGAGUCAUCCAUCUUGACAGGCACCGAUACAGACAAUUGCACUGGCUGAGGGGGCUGCAGCAUGUUUGUGGCAGGGGCGGCGCCAGUGGCAGGGCUGAAUUCCAUCACUCGCCUGCGACGACGCUGCCGUGUAGAGGACGGGGACUUGGCUUCUCCGUUGGGGCUGGUGUUGGCAGGUAUCUGUGUCGCGGCGGCGGCGUCUUCGUCGUCAGAGUCAGCCGAGGGAUCCCGGCCGUGUUUGUUUGUGGGGCGCCAGAUGUUGCGCGCAAUCUCAAAGAUGGCCUGCUCGUGCGGGGAGCGGAAGGUGAAGGUGGCGCCGGAUUCGCGGAGGCGAGAGACGCAGUUGCGGUACUUGCGCUUGAGGCGGCGGAGCUUCUCGACGAGCUGGCUCUUGGUGAAGUCGAGCUGGAGGCGGCGGCGCAUGUCCUCGUAGAAGGGGUCGGUGUCGUACUGGUGCGACGCGAACGCCGUGCCGCGCGCGGCGGUGAACUCCGCGAAGCCGCGGAGGAUCACGAUCUCGUCCUCCUCGGUCCAGAGGCGCUGGAACAGGGGCCGCCGCUCCCCGCCGUUGCCAGAGGUGACCGGGCCGCCGCCGCUCCCGGCCGCAGGGAUCGCGUGGGGCAGGCCGGUGGCGGAGGAGGUGGUGGGGUUGGGGAGGCCCGGAUCGGUGGGGUCGAGGAGGUGGGCGCCGGCGAAGUCGCCGUCUUCAGAAUCGCCGCCGCCGUCCGCGUCGGGGAAGGAGAUGCCGGCGGAAGCCGGCGGGUCGUCGCCGGUGGGAGGCAUUGGAUUGGUGAUGGGAUUUGGACGGGAAUAGGGGUCUGGUUGCGGGAUUUGAGGGAGUUCAGAAUGAUCGACGAGUGUUUGGAUGGGACCCGUGUUUGGAACUUUG
rnacentral:misc_RNA from 1 species